UAGGUAGCGCCUCGUGAAUUCAUCUCCGGGGGUAGAGCACUGUUUCGGCUAGGGGGCCAUCCCGGCUUACCAACCCGAUGCAAACUGCGAAUACCGGAGAAUGUUAUCACGGGAGACACACGGCGGGUGCUAACGUCCGUCGUGAAGAGGGAAACAACCCAGACCGCCAGCUAAGGUCCCAAAGUCAUGGUUAAGUGGGAAACGAUGUGGGAAGGCCCAGACAGCCAGGAUGUUGGCUUAGAAGCAGCCAUCAUUUAAAGAAAGCGUAAUAGCUCACUGGUCGAGUCGGCCUGCGCGGAAGAUGUAACGGGGCUAAACCAUGCACCGAAGCUGCGGCAGCGACACUGUGUGUUGUUGGGUAGGGGAGCGUUCUGUAAGCCUGUGAAGGUGUGUCGUGAGGCAUGCUGGAGGUAUCAGAAGUGCGAAUGCUGACAUAAGUAACGAUAAAGCGGGUGAAAAGCCCGCUCGCCGGAAGACCAAGGGUUCCUGUCCAACGUUAAUCGGGGCAGGGUGAGUCGACCCCUAAGGCGAGGCCGAAAGGCGUAGUCGAUGGGAAACGGGUUAAUAUUCCCGUACUUGGUGUUACUGCGAAGGGGGGACGGAGAAGGCUAUGUUGGCCGGG
rnacentral:rRNA from 3 species